UCAAUCCAGACAGAGCUUAAGCCAGCAGUUUGGAACAGACCACUAUGCUGCGUAAGGUAACGAACGUAGUAAAGCUAGUGGGAUGGACAACACAGGGUACAACGCAAGUGAAGGUAUUGAGUCCCGAAAUUCUCGAUGUCAUAGAGGUCGACACUUUUCAUAUAGUGGAAGACUAUAGUGCACCCAUUUGUCUAGACCAUU
rnacentral:ncRNA from 1 species